GAUGAACGCUGGCGGCGUGCCUAAUACAUGCAAGUCGAGCGAACAGACGAGGAGCUUGCUCCUCUGACGUUAGCGGCGGACGGGUGAGUAACACGUGGAUAACCUACCUAUAAGACUGGGAUAACUUCGGGAAACCGGAGCUAAUACCGGAUAAUAUAUUGAACCGCAUGGUUCAAUAGUGAAAGACGGUUUUGCUGUCACUUAUAGAUGGAUCCGCGCCGCAUUAGCUAGUUGGUAAGGUAACGGCUUACCAAGGCAACGAUGCGUAGCCGACCUGAGAGGGUGAUCGGCCACACUGGAACUGCGCCACGGUCCAGACUCCUACGGGAGGCAGCAGUAGGGAAUCUUCCGCAAUGGGCGAAAGCCUGACGGAGCAACGCCGCGUGAGUGAUGAAGGUCUUCGGAUCGUAAAACUCUGUUAUUAGGGAAGAACAAAUGUGUAAGUAACUAUGCACGUCUUGACGGUACCUAAUCAGAAAGCCACGGCUAUCUACGUG
rnacentral:rRNA from 1 species